CCCUCGUACGAUUCGCCUUGAGUUUGAUAUGGCUCAGAUUGAACGCUGGCGGCGUGCCUAACACAUGCAAGUCGAGCGGUAACAGGUGUAGCAAUACAUGCUGACGAGCGGCGGACGGGUGAGUAACGCUUGGGAAUCUGCCUGUUAGUGGGGGACAACCCGGGGAAACUCGGGCUAAUACCGCAUACGCACUACGGUGGAAAGCCGGGGACCGCAAGGCCUGGCGCUAACAGAUGAGCCCAAGUCGGAUUAGCUAGUUGGUAGGGUAACGGCCUACCAAGGCGACGAUCCGUAACUGGUCUGAGAGGACGACCAGUCACACCGGAACUGAGACACGGUCCGGACUCCUACGGGAGGCAGCAGUGGGGAAUAUUGGACAAUGGGCGAAAGCCUGAUCCAGCGACGCCGCGUGGGUGAAGAAGGCCUGCGGGUUGUAAAGCCCUUUCGGUGGGGAAGAAAAGCCUCGAGUUAACACCUCGGGGUCUUGACGUAACCCAUAGAAGAAGCACCGGCUAACUCUGUGCCAGCAGCCGCGGUAAUACAGAGGGUGCGAGCGUUAAUCGGAAUUACUGGGCGUAAAGCGCGCGUAGGCGGCUUUGCAAGUCGGGUGUGAAAUCCCCAGGCUUAACCUGGGAACUGCAUUCGAGACUGCAUUGCUAGAGUAUGGGAGAGGGAAGUGGAAUUUCCGGUGUAGCGGUGAAAUGCGUAGAUAUCGGAAGGAACAUCAGUGGCGAAAGCGACUUCCUGGACCAUACUGACGCUCAUGUGCGAAAGCGUGGGGAGCAAC
rnacentral:rRNA from 1 species